CCUUCCACCUCCGGGUUAUCCCCAGCGGGAAUUUCCCUUCUACGCUGUAGUCCUGAGAAUUCUCCAAGCUUAGCUUUCGACUAAGCAGUUUUUGGGGAAAUCGGAUGAGAAGUGGGGAACACUAUUUCAAAAGAAACAAAUGGUGACGGCCUCGAGUGACCCCCCAGCUCUUGCUGCUCAUCGGACGCUUUAUGAGGGUGCAGAGAAUCAUGGCGCCGCGCGUGUGGGGGAUCCAUUUUACGUCAGGACUUCCAUCAGGCAGCGACUUCCGCCCUCGGGGAGCGUCUGCUGUUCUUGCAGCUUUUCUCAGAGGAACAGCUGGCCCUCGUUUGGGCCACCACGACCCUUCCCUUGCCUUAUUGUUUCUGCCUUGGAGGACAUUCGUUCUGCCCAGCUGCAGGGGCUUGAGCUCUCUCAGGUAGUGCGAUUGGCUUCUAGAAUCCCUCCGUAUCAUUGUGGACUAAUGGCUUUUGCUGUCCAGUGAAGUUUAACGAAACCAGUAUGUCAUAACCACCUCCUGCAUCCUGACCCUUUGUGGGUGUGCCAAGGGGCAACUUCAGAACCAUUUGGCUGGCCCGAGGUCCUGAUGCGAGGCUGACAGUCCCAGGCAUCUGGUUCCUUGUUGGGGAGCACCGUGCAGCUCUGCUGCAUCUCAGGUUUAAGAGCCUUGGGAUGGAACGAGCAAGAUUGAAUUUGGAGUCGCAGAGUUCUGCGUUCCAAUUCCAGCAGCACUGCUCUCUGGCUGUGUGACCCUGGGCUUCACUCCCAGGACUUGAGCCCAGUUCCCCUGCAGAGUCUGCCUGGGUACCUUGCUCGUAAGGGAAGCGCAUCAAAUACAAAGGGUCCAUGUCUAGGAGGUAAGAACCAUGAGGCUCUGCGCUAAGUGAGGGCACGCUCUUUGGCACCCCCGGGAUGAGAGGCCAGCCCGUGUGGAGACUUAGCAUUGAUGCGCUUUGCUCCUGCGUCGUGAAAGGCGAGCCCGCGCGUAAUUGCUUGGCUGAGAAAGGAUGAAGAAAACAGUACAAGUCAGUCUCAGUGUAUCAUCUGCCUUCUUGGAAACCAGAAUUUCAUCACUGAGGAAGAUGACUCUGUGUCCUCAGCUGUAAAGAUGACAACAGGUUGAGGGGACCCUGGGCAGCCCUGGCUACUGGAGCACAGGGCUUGGGACACUCACCAGGGUCUCCACCAUGUUGGACUUGUUGUUGCGGAGUGUCUUCACGAUGUGGAACACGUCAAUGAUGUUUUGCUGCUGGAUCAUCUCACACACGCUGCAGAUGGCACAGAAGGUCCCGCUGCGGCCUCCCCCGUUCCUGAGCACGGAGGGAAGAGGUUCAAAUUGCUGGUCACCUUGGUGAUGGAAGACACGGAUAAAAAGGUACUCCUGCAAAAAAGCAGGCUAAAAAAUAUUUAAGUGGGAAAGAGUAGGAAGGGACCCCUACCGCCUCCCCCACAACACACAGAAGGAGGGUUCAGGAUUUUCUGAAGCAAAAAAGCAGAGUCUAAGCGGAAGAGGUGAGUGGACACAGGCAUCUCAGAGCUUCGUGGACUGAGACCCAGGAAAUAAUAGAGGAGGAUCUAGUCAGUGGAACCCACUUUGUCUUGAGCUUUCUUGUGACUCGGGACACAGCGUGCCUCCUGCUGGAGAGUGGAGGGCUCCCUUCCCUGUUGGGAGCCAUCUCCCAUUCCCCAUAUUUGUGGAGAGGCCUCCAGAUUUUUUAAUCAAUAAUAUGUCAUUGUAAUUGUUCAGAGCAACACACUGGCAACCCCGGUCCAUUAAAGGAUUGUAACAUCUUGAAUACACGCCCGUUGGUCUUUAUGGAGGUGGUAUGGCCAUGCAUGCCUAGGACUGGUGUUUGUGGCCGGCAGCAUCCUCAAGGAUGUCUUAUCUCCCACCACCCUGUUGCCCUGGAGACCCCUCCAUAGUACUCACAGGCAG